UUCCUGGCCUCAUAUAAGGUGUUCUAGAAAGGGGUUCCUCCAGCCGUGCAUCAGGACAAGGAACCAAGUGCUCCAGAGAGCCAAGUGAAUUGUUACCUGUCACAGCAUCCCCAUGUUCAUCUCUUAAUACUUGUGGGUGUGAUACAAACCACCUAAAAGAGAUUCACUGCCUCUUUUACAGCCCAGACUAGACAGUUUCCUGUGUUCCAUCAGUGCAGUUCUACUGCUGCACAUUUUGGUUUGGUUAGCAGGACUUUAAUCAAGAAAAAAAAAUCUAAUGAGCAGCAAUUUGAAAUACAGCAUUUGGAAAGGUCAAAAUGGUACAUUACAUCCCUAUUAUCCAAAAGAACAGAUGAGUUUAAUAUCCUGACAGCAUUUUCCUGUGAAGAAGAUAUUAAACAAGAACUGAAAAUGGCACAAGGUUCCCUCUUCCUUUCUUUUGACAAAGACUGUAACAAGAUGAUGAAAUUGUACAGAAUAAAUCUCAUCCUGCUUUAAUGUUCAGAUUGGGGAUCCUGCCUAGAUUUCAAAAAUCUAAGCUAAUAAAAGAGACAAAACAUAUGUUAUUUGUUUCAGGUAUAUCCACAUGAAGCAGAAGACUUUUACUAUACAUUUUCCUACUUACAUGACCCAGUUUCCAUCAAUAUUUUCUAGAUUUAAAAAUAGGAAUAAUUGGUAACAGAAGGUACAUAAUGCAUCUAAUUUCAAGAAGUAAAGCAUUGAACUGCAACAGAUAAUGCACUGCAUCAAAACAGCUUAAAAUGUAAAUUUUUCAGCUUCCAUAUGAAAGACUGCAGAAUACAAAGAAUAAAUUCCAACACACAAUGCACUGUAUGUAUUCUGCUUUGGUGAGUCCUUGGCAGUGUGGAACUGUUUGAAGGCAAAGGAAUUUGCACUAUAUCCCGUUGAUUGUUAGCAAUUCAAUUAAUAUAUGGAACUGUCACGAUUUGUUGUCUUAAAUCUUGUUAAAUUGGCCCUCGUGUUAAAUCUUAUUAUUACAACCAAAAAAUGCUGUGCUUAAAAAUCAAAACAUGAGUAUACAGCACACACCUUUAUUAAUAUGACAUGCACUUGUAUUCAUUCCACAUGAGAUAUGAGAAGUCUGCUGUUACAUAAGAGCAUAACAAGUUAUAUAAUAAAGACAUUCAUGAUUAUUAAAGAAAAACAAAUUAUAUGAUUCCAAAAGAUACACAUCUUCAAGUAUAACUGGCUGAAGUAGACGUACAUGGCUUUGAAUAAGAACUCGUAAGUAGAAAUCAUACAGAACCUCUUUUUUUCUUCACCAUCUAGAGAAUACAUCUGAAAAAAUAUCUCUGUGGUGCUUUACGUGCAGUACCUUGCUGAGAAAACCCAUUCUGCUUUGGCCAAGAGAGAGAAAAUGAACAUGCCCAAAAUAUGUUUUUCAAGCCUUGAGUGGAAAAAAAAAUGUUUUUUGGGUUUUUUUUUUUCUUUUUCUUAGGUGAUCUUAUUUUCCACUAGAAAUUGUAGAUACAUCCUUUGUUUUGCAACUGAAAUGCAAGAUAGCUUUUUAAAUGCGUUGGCAAUGUGUGACCAAUUUUGAAACUUCAAAGGUUUUGCAAAACUAUAGAAAAGAAGAUCCCUGAAGGGUGCUAAUUUCCAUAGGCAUUUAUGAAAUGAGUGUUUUCCAUGUAUCUAAAAGAAAUCCACUGGAUAACAUUUAAAGUUUAUAGAGAGUUCCUUGUGAUUUAGUUAAUAGCUCCUGAAACUAAAAUGACAACAAAUAACUCUUUUCUGUUUCCCAACCAGAAAUACGAGCAGAGUAUGAAGCGUCCAGAAAAUAAUAAGCAAAACUGUUUUUCAGUGAAUUAUUGUUCAUAGUUCAGAUCCAUGGAUUUUUAUCAUGCAAAUUACAAAGAAUUCAGACCAUAUAUAAUUCUGCUAUUAAGAAAUAAAUUAUAUGCUGUUGUUAUC
rnacentral:lncRNA from 7 species